rnacentral:rRNA from 1 species
GGCCUACCAUGGUGGUAACGGGUAACGGGGUGUUAGGGCACGACACCGGAGAGGGAGCCUGAGAAACGGCUACCACAUCCAAGGAUGGCAGCAGGCGCGCAAAUUACCCAAUCCCGACACGGGGAGGUAGUGACAAUAAAUAACAAUACGGGGUUCUUUCGGAUUUCGUAAUUGGAAUGAGUACAAUUUAAAUCUCUUAACGAGGAACAAUUGGAGGGCAAGUCUGGUGCCAGCAGCCGCGGUAAUUCCAGCUCCAAUAGCGUAUAUUAAAGUUGCUGCAGUUAAAAAGCUCGUAGUUGAAUUUCGGGACCAAUAUGUCGGUCGUGCCUCGGUACGUACUGGCAUCGUUGGUUUCUCCCUUCUGACGAACCAUGAUGUCAUUUAUUUGGUGUCGUGGGGAAUCAGGACUGUUACUUUGAAAAAAUUAGAGUGUUUAAAGCAGGCUCACGCUUGAAUACAUUAGCAUGGAAUAAUGAAAUAGGACGUUUGAUUCUAUUUUGUUGGUUUCUAGGAUCGACGUAAUGAUUAAUAGGGAUAGUUGGGGGCAUUAGUAUUCAAUUGUCAGAGGUGAAAUUCUUGGAUUUAUUGAAGACUAACUACUGCGAAAGCAUUUGCCAAGGAUGUUUUCAUUAAUCAAGAACGAAAGUUAGGGGAUCGAAGACGAUCAGAUACCGUCGUAGUCUUAACCAUAAACUAUGCCGACUAGGGAUCGGAUGAUGUUAAUUUUUUAAUGACUCAUUCGGCGCCUUACG